GUUUGAGCCUGCUGUUAAGCCCCCACGUGACAUUACAAAGAUUAUGAAACGUUUGUUUCAAGGGACUUGGGCAACUUAUGGAGAGUUAAUGAAAAAAGACACGGCUCUUGCGGACUUGUGGUAUAACGAGUUUCAGGAUAUAUAAGUGGCUUCCUGAGCAUGAUCAAGACAUAAAGAAGACUUAUCAUCAUAAGGCAUCUGAUGGGUACCAAAAUACAAUGUAUCGGGUACGAAGAGGAAUGGACAA
rnacentral:lncRNA from 1 species